AUGAACGCUGGCGGCGUGCCUAAUCCAUGCAAGUCGAGCGAACAGACGAGGAGCUUGCUCCUCUGACGUUAGCGGCGGACGGGUGAGUAACACGUGGAUAACCUACCUAUAAGACUGGGAUAACUUCGGGAAACCGGAGCUAAUACCGGAUAAUAUAUUGAACCGCAUGGUUCAAUAGUGAAAGACGGUUUUGCUGUCACUUAUAGAUGGAUCCGCGCCGCAUUAGCUAGUUGGUAAGGUAACGGCUUACCAAGGCAACGAUGCGUAGCCGACCUGAGAGGGUGAUCGGCCACACUGGAACUGAGACACGGUCCAGACUCCUACGGGAGGCAGCAGUAGGGAAUCUUCCGCAAUGGGCGAAAGCCUGACGGAGCAACGCCGCGUGAGUGAUGAAGGUCUUCGGAUCGUAAAACUCUGUUAUUAAGGAAGAACAAAUGUGUAAGUAACUAUGCACGUCUUGACGGUACCUAAUCAGAAAGCCACGGCUAACUACGUG
rnacentral:rRNA from 1 species